rnacentral:rRNA from 1 species
CGAGCACGUAGGGGGGUUUGUAAGUCAGAUGUGAAAGCCUUCUGUUCAACGGAAGAAUUGCAUCUGAAACUGCUAAUCUUGAGUAUAGGAGGGGAGAAUGGAACUUCUGGUGGAGCGGUGAAAUGCGUAGAUAUCAGAAGGAACGCCGGCGGCGAAAGCGAUUCUCUGGCCUAUUACUGACACUCAGUGUGCGAAAGCUAGGGAGCAAACGGGAUAGAACCCCGUAGCCAGCCAU